GCGGCAACAGCUCAAAUUUGAAAUCUGGCCCUCGGGUCCGAGUUGUAAUUUGUAGAGGAUGCUUUUGGUGCGGUGCCUUCCGAGUUCCCUGGAACGGGACGCCAUAGAGGGUGAGAGCCCCGUCUGGUUGGACACCAAGCCUCUGUAAAGCUCCUUCGACGAGUCGAGUAGUUUGGGAAUGCUGCUCUAAAUGGGAGGUAUAUGUCUUCUAAAGCUAAAUACCGGCCAGAGACCGAUAGCGCACAAGUAGAGUGAUCGAAAGAUGAAAAGCACUUUGAAAAGAGGGUUAAAUAGUACGUGAAAUUGUUGAAAGGGAAGCGCUUAUGACCAGACUUGAGCCCGGUUAAUCAUCCAGCCUUCUGGCUGGUGCACUUGGCCGGCUCAGGCCAGCAUCAGUUCGGCGCGGGGGAUAAAGGUUUCGGGAAUGUGGCUCCUCCGGGAGUGUUAUAGCCCGUUGCGUAAUACCCUGUACUGGACUGAGGUUCGCGCAUCUGCAAGGAUGCUGGCGUAAUGGUCAUCAGCGACCCGUCUUGAAACACGGACCAAGGAGUCGUCUUCGUAUGCGAGUGUUCGGGUGUCAAACCCCUACGCGUAAUGAAAGUGAACGCAGGUGAGAGCUUCGGCGCAUCAUCGACCGAUCCUGAUGUUCUCGGACGGAUUUGAGUAAGAGCAUACGGGGCCGGACCCGAAAGAAGGUGAACUAUGCCUGUAUAGGGUGAAGCCAGAGGAAACUCUGGUGGAGGCUCGCAGCGGUUCUGACGUGCAAAUCGAUCGUCAAAUAU
rnacentral:rRNA from 1 species